rnacentral:rRNA from 1 species
CCCUUAGAUGUUCUGAGCCGCACGCGCGCUACACUGAUGCAUUCAACAAGCCUAGCCUUGACCGAGAGGUCCGGGUAAUCUUUGAAACUGCAUCGUGAUGGGGCUAGAUUAUUGCAAUUAUUAAUCUUCAACGAGGAAUGCCUAGUAAGCGUGAUUCAUCAAAUCGCGUUGAUUACGUCCCUGCCCUUUGUACACACCGCCCGUCGCUCCUACCGAUUGAAUGUGUUGGUGAGGAGCUCGGAUUGGCAGCAGUUGGUGGUUCGCCACCGGCUAUUGCUGAGAAGUCCUCCAAACCGCCCCAUUUAGAGGAAGGAGAAGUCGUAACA